rnacentral:rRNA from 2 species
GUUCUGAUUAUUGAAGGGUGCUUGCAUCUUGAUUUAAUUUUGAACGAGUGGCGGACGGGUGAGUAACACGUGGGUAACCUGCCCUUAAGUGGGGGAUAACAUUUGGAAACAGAUGCUAAUACCGCAUAAAUCCAAGAACCGCAUGGUUCUUGGCUGAAAGAUGGCGUAAGCUAUCGCUUUUGGAUGGACCCGCGGCGUAUUAGCUAGUUGGUGAGGUAACGGCUCACCAAGGCAAUGAUACGUAGCCGAACUGAGAGGUUGAUCGGCCACAUUGGGACUGAGACACGGCCCAAACUCCUACGGGAGGCAGCAGUAGGGAAUCUUCCACAAUGGACGCAAGUCUGAUGGAGCAACGCCGCGUGAGUGAAGAAGGCUUUCGGGUCGUAAAACUCUGUUGUUGGAGAAGAAUGGUCGGCAGAGUAACUGUUGUCGGCGUGACGGUAUCCAACCAGAAAGCCACGGCUAACUACGUGCCAGCAGCCGCGGUAAUACGUAGGUGGCAAGCGUUAUCCGGAUUUAUUGGGCGUAAAGCGAGCGCAGGCGGUUUUUUAAGUCUGAUGUGAAAGCCCUCGGCUUAACCGAGGAAGUGCAUCGAAAACUGGGAAACUUGAGUGCAGAAGAGGACAGUGGAACUCCAUGUGUAGCGGUGAAAUGCGUAGAUAUAUGGAAGAACACCAGUGGCGAAGGCGGCUGUCUGGUCUGUAACUGACGCUGAGGCUCGAAAGCAUGGGUAGCGAACAGGAUUAGAUACCCUGGUAGUCCAUGCCGUAAACGAUGAAUGCUAGGUGUUGGAGGGUUUCCGCCCUUCAGUGCCGCAGCUAACGCAUUAAGCAUUCCGCCUGGGGAGUACGACCGCAAGGUUGAAACUCAAAGGAAUUGACGGGGGCCCGCACAAGCGGUGGAGCAUGUGGUUUAAUUCGAAGCAACGCGAAGAACCUUACCAGGUCUUGACAUCUUUUGAUCACCUGAGAGAUCAGGUUUCCCCUUCGGGGGCAAAAUGACAGGUGGUGCAUGGUUGUCGUCAGCUCGUGUCGUGAGAUGUUGGGUUAAGUCCCGCAACGAGCGCAACCCUUAUGACUAGUUGCCAGCAUUUAGUUGGGCACUCUAGUAAGACUGCCGGUGACAAACCGGAGGAAGGUGGGGAUGACGUCAAAUCAUCAUGCCCCUUAUGACCUGGGCUACACACGUGCUACAAUGGAUGGUACAACGAGUUGCGAGACCGCGAGGUCAAGCUAAUCUCUUAAAGCCAUUCUCAGUUCGGACUGUAGGCUGCAACUCGCCUACACGAAGUCGGAAUCGCUAGUAAUCGCGGAUCAGCACGCCGCGGUGAAUACGUUCCCGGGCCUUGUACACACCGCCCGUCACACCAUGAGAGUUUGUAACACCCGAAGCCGGUGGCGUAA